AUCGCUUCUCGGCCUUUUGGCUAAGAUCAAGUGUAGUAUCUGUUCUUAUCAGUUUAAAAUGUAUUAACUCAUAAAAAUAAAAAAUAACAAAAAAUCCAAU
rnacentral:snRNA from 1 species